GACAGAGGGUGCAAACGUUGUUCGGAAUUACUGGGCGUAAAGGGCGCGUAGGUGGCCCGGUCAGUUCGUGGUGAAAGCGCGGGGCUCAACCCUGCGUCGGCCAUGAAUACUGCCGCGGCUGGAGCACUGUAGAGGCAGGCGGAAUUCCGGGUGUAGCGGUGGAAUGCGUAGAGAUCCGGAAGAACACCGGUGGCGAAGGCGGCCUGCUGGGCAGUUGCUGACACUGAGGCGCGACAGCGUGGGGAGCAAACAGG
rnacentral:rRNA from 1 species